GGUUUUUAUACGACCGCAAAAAAAUUUUGUGGUCGUAUAUUGGUAUGACGUUGGCGUCGUCGUCGUCGUCGUCCGAAUACAUAUUGGUUUUCGCACUCUAACUUUAGUUUAAGUGAAUGGAUCUUUUUGAAAUUUGACCAUAAGGUUAAAUACCACAAAAGGAAGGUUGGGAUUGAUUUUGGGGGUUAUGGUACCAACAGUUAAGGAAUUAGGGGCCAAAAAGGGGCCAAAAAUGAGCAUUUUCUAGUUUCCAGACAAUAACUGUGGAACGGUGUAUGGAUCUCUCUGAAAUUAUACUACAAGUUUCCAUACCACAAAGGGAUGGUUAGGAUUUGCUUUGGGGGGUUAUGCCUCAAACCGUUUAGGAAUUAGGGGCAAAAAAGGGGGAAAAACAAGGUUGUCCUGGUUAAUGGACAAAUACUUUAGUACAAAACAUAAUUUAAAGCAGUGUAAGGGAGAUAAAUCAAAUACAUCAUUGAAAUUAUCUCCCUUACACUGCUUUUAAAUUAUGUAUAAAGUAAUGGUUAAUGAACAAUAAAGAUAAUCUAAAACAGUGUAAGGGAGGUAAUCCAAAUACAAUGUUUUGGUUACUUCCCUUACACUGCUUUUAAAUUAUGUUUAAAGAAAUGCAUAUUUAUAAAGGAAGACCAGUAAAAAUAUCUGUAAAUGUUUUCAUCUUUUUUUUUUACAAAAAAAUCCAUAUGAAAGAUUUGACACUAUAUUUUUAUUAAUUCUAUUAUAAAAUAGAUUAAGUUAGCACUAUGGUAAAUUUAAAUGGGUAAUUAUGGUUGCCAACUCCAUUGGAAAUUUGAAUUGAGAUUAUGACCAUAUCUUGAGGGAAAGAAUUUUUUUGGGGGAAAAAGGGGGGGGGGGAUAAAAAGAAAUUGUGGAGGGCCAAUUUUUUCUCAUUUCAGAUUUCAGAAAUUAAAAAGAAUUAUUCUUCAAAUAUUAUUUUUUUUUCAAAUUUCAAAUAUUGAAAAAUUUCAAGAAGUAAUCUUUAAUUGCACAGUAUGGCGCAUUAGAUUUGUAAAAUCUUUGAUCACAUUUAUUUAUUUGUUAUGCCGAAUCUAACAGUGUAUUUAGAUUUUUAAUUUUGGGUCCAGUUUUCAAAUUGGUCUACAUUAAUGUCCAAAGGGUCCAAAACUAAACUUUGUUUGAUUUUAGCAAAAAUUGAAUAUAUGAGGUUCUUUGAUAUGCUGAAUCUAAACAUGUAUUUAGAUUUUUGAUUUUUGGCCCAGUUUUCAAGUUGGUCCAAAUUGGGGUCCAAAAUUAAACUUUGUUUGAUUUCAACAAAAAUUGAAUAUAUGGGGUUCUUUGAUAUGCUGAAUCUAACCAUGUAUUUAGAUUUUUUAUUUGUGGACCCUGUUAUCUAAUUGGUUCAUAUUGAGGUCAAAAGGGUCCAAAAUUAAACUUUGUUUGAUUUCAUCUAAAAUUGAAUUAUUGGGGUUCUUUGAUAUUCCAAAUCUAACCGUGUAUUUAGGUUUUUAAUUUUGGGUCCUGUUUUUUAAAUUGGUCUACAUUGAGGUCCAAAGGGUCCAAAUUAAACUUAGUUUGAUUUUAACAAAAAUUGAAUUCUUGGGGUUCUUUGAUUUGCUGAAUCUAAACAUGUGUUUAGAUUUUUGAUUAUGGGCCCAGUUUUCAAGUUGGUCCAAGAUAGGGUCCAGUAUUUAAACUUUGUUUGAUUUCAACAAAAAUUGAAUAUAUGGGGUUCUUUGAUAUGCUGAAUCUAAACAUGUAUUUAGAUUUUUGAUUAUGGGCCCAGUUUUCAAGUUGGUCCAAAUUGGGGUCCAAAAUUAAACUUUGUUUGAUUUCAACAAAAAUUGAAUAUAUGAGGUUCUUUGAUAUGCUGAAUCUAACCAUGUAUUUAGAUUUUUUAUUUGUAGGCCCCGCUAUCAAAUUGGUUCAUAUUGAGGUCAAAAGGGUCCAAAAUUAAACUUUGUUUGAUUUCAUCGAAAAUUGAAUUAUUGGGGUUCUUUGAUAUGCCAAAUCUUACCGUGUUUUUAGAUUUUUAAUUUGGGUCCCGUUUUUUAAAUUGGUCUUCAUUGAGGUCCAAAGGGUCCAAAAUUAAACUUAGUUUGAUUUUAGCAAAAAUUGAAUUCUUGGGGUUCUUUGAUAUGCUGAAUCUAAACAUGUGUUUAGAUUUUUGAUUAUGGGCCCAGUUUUCAAGUUGGUCCAAGUUGGGGUCCAAAAUUAAACUUUGUUUGAUUUUAACAAAAAUUGAAUAUAUGGGGUUCUUUGAUAUGCUGAAUCUAACCAUGUAUUUUGAUUUUGGACAUUGGACCAUAAUAGGCUAAUUAAAAAAAUUCAAGUUCUUAGACCACAUUCUUUCUGUGUCAGAAACCUAUGCUGUGUCAAAUAUUUAAUCACAAUCCAAAUUCAGAGCUGUAUCAAGCUUGAAUGUUGUGUCCAUACUUGCCCCAACUGUUCAGGGUUCGACCUCUGCGGUUGUAUCAAGCUGCGCCCCAGCGAAGCAUUUUAUAUGGUUGUGUAAAAGGGGCUAUUCCAUUUGAUACUGAUUGAAUGUUGGAUGGAUGUAAAAUGUUGUGUCAGUGAUGAUAGGGCUAUAUCACAACAAUAAAAACUAACUAAAGACAA